AUGGGAACUGUUGAAUCACGGCCUGAACCGCUGAUUGAUCACCUGAGGAAAGGACUGAGUCAGCCAUGGGACUCCACCUCUCAGAUGCCAUUUAAGGUCUGACUGCUGCAGGGGAAGGAUCUCCUUCUGGAGAUCCCUCCUCUGUGUAAUCUUUUUUGGGAACCUAGAUCUUUGGAUACAGCAUAAAGCUAUGGAGGCAUGAUCAUAACAGAUAAGGAGAAAUUGAUUUCAGAACAGAACAACAGAUAAGUAAACAGAAAUCCUGAUUGACCUCAGAUGGCUUUGGUAAACAGAAUAAACACAAAUAAAUGAUGAUUGAAAUUGUUCAGAUUGCUGAUGAGGAGCAGAGGGGGAAGUAUAAGGGCUCCAUUUGUUUUCUAGUUUCUGCUUUUUUUCAGAACUAGAAAUUGAUUAACUGCAAUAGCAUGUACCUUAAAAUUUUCACGCUUAAUGUUAUAUAAGUUGUUAUGAUGACCUCAGAUUUGAUUUGUUACAUUAUAUUUAUUAUUAAAUUGCUAGCAUCUAAUUUGCAUUUGAAAGACCUUCUUCUAUGUAUUGUUCAACAAAUCAAUUGUUGCAGUAGUUUUGAGGUGUUCUUCCAGAGGUGUAGUGAUUUGUGGUGAUUAGAACUUUUAUCACAAUUAAUUUAAUGUCUCAUGUAAAAAAAAAAGUCUUACAAUUACUGCAUCAAUCUAUAGUAGCUUUUAAGAAAUGCAGCGAAUUUGCUGUAGAUUAUGCCUGAAAUUUGAUGAGUUAAUUAGGCUUCCUAACCUGUUAUCUUACCUUUCAUAAUUAAUACCAUAAUCAUAUUCAUCUAAACUCAAUUAUACAGAAGACAUUGUGUGAAUGUUUUUUUUUUUUUAAAUGAAACAAAACAUGGGCACAGUAAGACAGCUGUACACUCCUCAGGGUGCAAAUUCUUUAGCAACUGAUGCUGUAAUUAAAACAGAAAUUCCAUGUCUCUAGUGUUUAGGGAAAUUGCUUUUGUAUUUAUUAGAAAUUCUGGACAGUGUUGACCUAAUAACUACAGCCUCUAAUUACAAGGUCCAUACAUAUUUAAAAGCAAAGUGUCUCUCCUGAGUUCAGGGUAUGAAAAAUGUGUAGUCUGGUUGUUGGGGUGGGUAAUGUUUAGGCUGGGAUGAUUGAGUCAGACCCAGAGAAACAUUUGAUUCUAAAAUGACUGAAAUAUUCUUUUUUUUUUUCUUUUCUUUUUCACUUGAAUGGAAAGCUCAACCACGUUGCUGAGAUUGAGCUUCACUCUUGGUAUUCAAGGUAUUAUCCUGCAGAUUAAGAAAGUAAUCCUAAUAAUCUAGAGAAAAGAUGUAGUACCCAGUGUUACUUCUGUAUCAAAUCUUCUCAUCUGUAAAUUCUAGACCAAUCUGUUCUUAAUAAUUAAGUUAGUUUUUCAGGACAUAUAUUUGCAGGUGGAUUUAAUAUUAUUACUUGAAAUAGUAUUAAAGAUACAGAUACAGAAACACUGAGAAACUCUCUUUAAUCCUGAGAGGACUCUGUUCUGUUUCCCUUUUAGGCAACGUUAAGCAUCUGUUAUUUCUGAAUCUUCUCUGAGACCGUGCGCUUCAUCAUGUGCAAACACUAUUACUCUGCUGAACUUUUUCAAAGGUGCCAUUAUUGGAAAUGGCUGCAGCUGAGAGGGAGAAACUGUAGAAUUUUCAAAAUGAUGUCCCUGGUCAGGAAGGAAUAACUACCCAAAAACUGAAAUAAAUUAUCAGUGUAUCCAUUUUUAUCUUUAAUAUUCCAAAUAACAUAAAGUGAGAUAGGUGAGACGAAAAGUAUUGGACUUUUUGACAAUAUCAAUGAAUGUUUGAUGUCAAUUGGAAUUGUUAUUGAUAUCAGUAAUUAUGCAAAAUAUAUAUAUUUAAAUAUAGUGAUUUAACAUCUUAAAUGUUUUAAAGAGAGAGUGCUGCACAUAAGGAAAUGACUGUUGUCAUGACUGGAGAUAUUUUAGCUUUUAUCUUUAUUUAUUUUGACUCAGUUUGUCUUAUGUAUUUUAUACAGGCAAGGCAAAAGCCAUAGACUAUCAAAUGAAGUAGAGAUGCGGGGAAGAUUUUUCAGAUUCAAACAUGAGUAUUUGGGGUAUGUGAAUCUACUAAAUUUACCUCUAGGUACAGGUGCAGUAAAAAUGAGUGAUUUAGUUCAUUUAUAGACCAGCUGGUGCAUGGCUUUGUACAAAAUUGUAAUGGAUGUAGCGGAUUCUUUUGUAUGCAAUGAACAAUUUCUAUGAAAAGUUAGCCAUUUAAACAGUGUCUAUUUUAUUAGGAUUUCUGGAUAUAUGGUAACUUGCUUGGAGAGACACAAUAGUCUGGCAAUAACAGCACAGCAGCAUCUGAUACCCUUAACAGAGCUCUUAUAUUCAACAGACCCAGACAGU